AGAGUUUGAUCAUGGCUCAGAUUGAACGCUGGCGGCAUGCUUUACACAUGCAAGUCGAACGGUAACAGGCCUUCGGGCGCUGACGAGUGGCGAACGGAUGAGUAAUGCAUCGGAACGUGCCCAGUCGUGGGGGAUAACUACUCGAAAGAGUGGCUAAUACCGCAUACGAUCUGCGGAUGAAAGCGGGGGACCUUCGGGCCUCGCGCGAUUGGAGCGGCCGAUGUCAGAUUAGGUAGUUGGUGGGGUAAAGGCUCACCAAGCCAACGAUCUGUAGCUGGUCUGAGAGGACGACCAGCCACACUGGGACUGAGACACGGCCCAGACUCCUACGGGAGGCAGCAGUGGGGAAUUUUGGACAAUGGGCGCAAGCCUGAUCCAGCAAUGCCGCGUGCAGGAAGAAGGCCUUCGGGUUGUAAACUGCUUUUGUACGGAACGAAACGGUCCUGGCUAAUACCCGGGGCUAAUGACGGUACCGUAAGAAUAAGCACCGGCUAACUACGUGCCAGCAGCCGCGGUAAU
rnacentral:rRNA from 1 species